ACGGGUGUAGCUCAACUGGUAGAGUGGCGGUCUCCAAAACCGUAGGCUGUGGGUUCGAUUCCUACCACCCGUGCUA
rnacentral:tRNA from 1 species